rnacentral:rRNA from 1 species
GUAUAAAAUAUUGUGCCAGCAUAUGCGGUUAUACAAUAACUUUGAGUUAAUCUUAUUGGUUAUAUUUAUUUUUAGUUUUUGGAUUAUCAAAUGAUAAUUUAGGGUGGAAUCUUAAUUAUUAUAUAUAUUUUGGUUUAAGAGAAUAAUAAAAUGUGAUUUAAACUAGGAUUAGAUACCCUAUUAUUCAUAAUUGUAAUUAUGGGACCUUAUUAUUAAUAGUUACUUUCUUUAAAUUAAAAAGGUUUGGCGGUUUUUUAAUCUUUUCAGAGGAACCUGCUCUUUAAUUGAUAGUCCACGUUGAAUUUUACUUUAGUUUAUAAUUUGUAUACCUCUGUUAUUGAAUGUCUUAUUAGGGAGUUUAUUUUCUAUAAUUAUUAAUAUAUUGAAUAUCAAGUCAAGGUGCAGUUAAUAUUGAAGGUUGAAGUGGGUUACAUUAAAUGUAAUUUAAUGGAUUAUUGUUUGGAAUUAAUUUUAUUAAAUUGGAUUUGAUAGUAAGUUUCCUUAUUUAAGGAGGCUGAAUUUAGCUCUAAUUUAUGUACAUAUCGCCCGUCACUCCCAUCUUUAAAAUGGGAUAAGUCGUAACAAAGUAA